GACGGAGGAUGCAAGUGUUAUCCGGAAUUACUGGGCGUAAAGCGUCUGUAGGUGGUUUAGUAAGUCGAUUGUUAAAGCUUGAGGCUUAACUUCAAAACAGCAAUGGAAACUGCUAGACUUGAGUAUGGUAGAGGUAAAAGGAAUUUCCAGUGGAGCGGUGAAAUGCGUAGAUAUUGGAAAGAACACCGAUGGCGAAGGCAUUUUACUGGGCCAUAACUGACACUCAGAGACGAAAGCUAGGGUAGCAAAUGGG
rnacentral:rRNA from 1 species